GCACCCAGGAACGUUUGCUGGCUGCUGCUGCCGAUGCCCAGAUACUGCAGCCGGGUGCCAUCCUGCCCCAGAGAAAGUUCGCACGAUUGUGUAGCAGCGGCGUUUCAGGGGUUAUGGAAAAUCACAACACGCAUCUGGCACCGGGCUCCGCCCCCAGCGACCUUGUUCCAGCACCAGGUUGUUCUCCCGGGUCCAUUGGGACCUUGCCUUUGGGGGAUCCACACAGCCUCUACCAGCUGUCCCGGGAACCACCUCUCCCGUUCAGUCUGAAGACACCCGGACUCCUCUCUGCUCCUGGAGAUUUGCCCUUCCCACCCGAGCCCCGCCAGGAGCAUAGGAGCUUAUUCUUCAGCCCCCAAGGAUUCUUUCUUGGGAUGCCUUUUAAACCACUGGAAUCAAUUUGGAUUGCAAGAUCUAAGGAAAAAAAGAAAAACUAAUCUUCUUCUGUAACAUUUCCUGGUCUCAGUACUCCUUAGGAGAAGAGGAAAAAUGGCCCAUCAACAGGACAUUAAGCUUCAAUAUGAUCUAUCAGAUGUCUUCUGCAAGAAGCAGGGCAAAUGGACUGUGGUACCCUAUGCUCAGGCCUUCAUGUCCCUAAAUCAGGAUCCAGACCUGAGGUCCUCUUGAAGAAUUUUUCUAGCCACCAACCAGGUUGAUAAAAUCCCUCUGGACAUACUGGAUGAUGAUGUCUAUAUAGGCCCAUUCCUCCUAAUAAAGCUGGGCUUAGUGGAGGAAUCACCAGUCAGUCCAGACAAAGAAGAUACUGGCUCUGUUGCUAUGCCUUCUCCUUAUAAACCCAAGACCUCUCUGCUCCCAGCCCAGCUGGGACUUAGUUGGAGUGGGACUCCCUGUCUUCCAGAAGAUCCACCUAAAUUUGGAAUCUGCCCUUUUAGGGAAGUUGCCAAUGGAGAAAUGGGCACAAUGAGAGUCCAUGUCUCCAUGGCAGACCUGGCUCAGAUAAGACAACAGUGAGGAUGAUAUUCUGAAAAUGCUCUCAGUUUAUUGAGGACUUUCAACAAAUAUCUAUCAUGUAGGAUAUGACCUGGAUAUGUAGAUAUCAUAUUAACCCUUUGUUGAAUCCUUGAGGAAAAGAACUGCAUCUGGGCAGGAGAUCAAGAGUCCAGUGAUGAACUGGCAACAAGAGACAGGGAACAUUAUCUACGGAGAGAGCUGCUGUCCCAAAUACUGAACCACAUUGAAACUAUCAGGAUAGUCAGGAAAGGGAAAGACGAGAUGUAUGGUUUGACAGAAGGAAUGAAAAAAGGAUUUACUAAACCUGUAAUUUUAACAAAAAUCAGGAAGUCACCCAAAGAGUUGAUUAAAAUCCUGCUCUAUUUCAGGGUUGCUUAAUAGAACGCUAAUCCUAAAUAUACAAACCUGGACCCAACUAUACCUGAAGGAAUGCCUAUUUUAAACAUGCAUUUUAUAAAUCAGUGGGCACUUCACAUCCGCUGGAAGUUAACAAAAAUGACUUUAGACCCUCAAAUUCCCACUCAGCACCUCUUGGAGGUGGCUUUUGGAGUUUUCAAUAAUAGUGACAUGGCAUUAAUACCAGAAAAGGACCAGAGGGCUGAGUUACAGGGUGUGAUAAUCGGCUCAAAUAUUGGCUGCUGCUAUCUCGAGCUUCCCACAACACCAGACUAGCCAGAAGUCCUUGCUAAGGGCUGACUCCAGAUGACAGGUCAGAUAAGAUCCCAUGUUUCAGACAUGGCCAGAUGGGAUAUUGGAGCAGAGAUUGUCCCAACAAGGGCUCUCCCCCUGGGUCAUGCCCUGCUUGUAAAAACAAAGACAUUGGAUGAGAGACUGUCCUUGUGUCCAGAGAGAGAGAGAAGGUCAAGCACUCACCACCCUGCCCAAGAGUUAAAACCAGAGAAACUGGCAUGACAGGGCCCUGAGGCUGGUCCGGCUCCCUUUGUCAUCUAGAUGACUGAGCCCCGGGUUGCCCUGGAUGUGGGAGGUAAAUCCAGAAGGCACCGUCCGCCCUCCCCCACUUUUAAACCAGUCCAAAGACUUGGAUCAUACCCAGGAGAGGACUGGCAGCCUGAUUUCACACAAAUGCCUCCUUGCAAAGGCUGUAAGUUUCUACUGGUGUUUGUUGAUACCUUCACAGGAUGGAUGGAGGCCUUUCCACGUGAAACCGAAAGAACCACAGAAGUAACCAAAGUUUUGUUGUGAGAAAUUAUUCCCACAUUUGGCCUUCCACGAUCCCUUCAAAGUGACAAUGGUCCCUCUUUUACUGCAGAAACAACUCAACAAAUAGUGCAAGUUUUAAAAACUAAGUAUUUUCUGUGUUCAGUCUGGCGUCCACAAUCCUCUGGGAAGGUAGGAAAAGCUAACCAUACUUUAAAAUGACACCUUACUGGGGCGCCUGGGUGGCUCAGUU